rnacentral:rRNA from 1 species
CGCGGCCUAUCAGCUUGUUGGUGGGGUAAUGGCCUACCAAGGCGACGACGGGUAGCCGGCCUGAGAGGGCGACCGGCCACACUGGGACUGAGACACGGCCCAGACUCCUACGGGAGGCAGCAGUGGGGAAUAUUGCACAAUGGGCGAAAGCCUGAUGCAGCGACGCCGCGUGAGGGAUGACGGCCUUCGGGUUGUAAACCUCUUUCAGCAGGGAAGAAGCGAAAGUGACGGUACCUGCAGAAGAAGCGCCGGCUAACUACGUGCCAGCAGCCGCGGUAAUACGUAGGGCGCAAGCGUUGUCCGGAAUUAUUGGGCGUAAAGAGCUCGUAGGCGGCUUGUCACGUCGGAUGUGAAAGCCCGAGGCUUAACCUCGGGUCUGCAUUCGAUACGGGCUAGCUAGAGUGUGGUAGGGGAGAUCGGAAUUCCUGGUGUAGCGGUGAAAUGCGCAGAUAUCAGGAGGAACACCGGUGGCGAAGGCGGAUCUCUGGGCCAUUACUGACGCUGAGGAGCGAAAGCGUGGGGAGCGAACAGGAUUAGAUACCCUGGUAGUCCACGCCGUAAACGUUGGGAACUAGGUGUUGGCGACAUUCCACGUCGUCGGUGCCGCAGCUAACGCAUUAAGUUCCCCGCCUGGGGAGUACGG